rnacentral:rRNA from 1 species
UGCAUAUCAAUAAGCGGAGGAAAAGAAACCAACAGGGAUUGCCCUAGUAACGGCGAGUGAAGCGGCAAGAGCUCAAAUUUGAAAUCUGGCUCCUCCGGGGUCCGAGUUGUAAUUUGCAGAGGAUGCUUCGGGUGCGGUCCCCGUCUAAGUACCCUGGAAUGGGUCGUCAUAGAGGGUGAGAAUCCCGUCUGGGACGGGUGGCCGUGUCCGUGUGAAGCUCCUUCGACGAGUCGAGUUGUUUGGGAAUGCAGCUCUAAAUGGGUGGUAAAUUUCAUCUAAAGCUAAAUAUUGGCCGGAGACCGAUAGCGCACAAGUAGAGUGAUCGAAAGAUGAAAAGCACUUUGAAAAGAGAGUUAAACAGCACGUGAAAUUGUUGAAAGGGAAGCGCUUGCGACCAGACUCGCCCGCGGGGGUUCAGCCGGUACUCGUACCGGUGUACUCCCCCGUGGGCGGGCCAGCGUCGGUUUGGGCGGCCGGUCAAAGGCCUCCGGAAUGUAUCGCCCUUCGGGGCGUCUUAUAGCCGGGGGUGCAAUGCGGCCAGCCUGGACCGAGGAACGCGCUUCGGCUCGGACGCUGGCGUAAUGGUCGUAAGCGGCCCGUCUUGAAACACGGACCA